GAUGAACGCUGGCGGUGUGCCUAAUACAUGCAAGUCGAGCGAAGCGGGGACGGGUGAGUAACACGUGGAUAACCUCCUAUAAGACUUGGAUAACUUCGUGAAACCGGAGCUCAACCGGAUACUUAUUGCUGGAUUCGGGCUGCAUUAGUUAGUUGGCAAGGUAACGACUUACCAAGGCAACGAUGCAUAGCCGACCUGGAAGGGUGAUCGGCCAAACUGGAACAGAGACACGGUCCAGACUCCUACGGGAGGCAGCAGGAGGGAAUCUACCGCAAUGGGCUAAAGCCUGAGGGAGCAACGCCGCGUGAGUGAUGAAGGUCUUCGGAUCGUAAAACUCUGUUAUUAGGGAAGCGGUACCUAGUCAGAAAGCCACGGCUAACUACGUGCCAGCAGCCGCGGUAAUUC
rnacentral:rRNA from 1 species